AUCGAUUGGCGGUCACGUCGAGCUUCCAUAGCGUAGUAGUAAAACCCUCGUUACUGGUAAUCGUCGCGGCCACGCCGUUAAACCCCAACUUCUGAAUGUUGACCUCGGAUCAGGUAGGAAUACCCGCUGAACUUAA
rnacentral:rRNA from 1 species